rnacentral:tmRNA from 1 species
GGGGUUGCCAGGUUUCUACAUUAUAAUACACAAUGCGAAGAAAGCUCAAUAACAUCUCAAUCUUGUAUUUUACAAACUAAUUGCAAAAAGCCAAAUUAUUCCAUUCUCUUUAACAUUAGCAGUCUAAAAUUACUACAAUAGUUAAAAAGAAAUCAAUGUAAUAUUCUAUAGUUUACACUGAUUAUAUUAUAUAGGUGCUCUUAAAGUAUUUUAAGUCGAGCAAAAAGAACAUAAAUUCGUGUAAUAUAAUAAUAAAUAAAGUGUUCUUAGCAUGUAUUAUCUUGGACGUGGGUUCAAAUCCCACCAACUCCA